CCUACGGGAGGCAGCAGUGAGGAAUAUUGGUCAAUGGUCGGGAGACUGAACCAGCCAAGCCGCGUGAGGGAGGAAGGUACAGAGUAUCGUAAACCUCUUUUGUCAGGGAACAAAGACUGGGACGCGUCCCCGGAUGAGUGUACCUGAAGAAAAAGCAUCGGCUAACUCCGUGCCAGCAGCCGCGGUACUACGGGGGCUGCGAGCGUUAUCCGGAUUUAUUGGGUUUAAAGGGUGCGCAGGCGGUCUUUUAAGUCAGCGGGCAAAGCCCGGGGCUCAACCCCGGCCCGCCGUUGAAACUGGCAGUCUCGAGUUGGAGAGAAGUAUGCGGAAUGCGCGGUGUAGCGGUGAAAUGCAUAGAUAUCGCGCAGAACUCCGAUUGCGAAGGCAGCAUGCCGGCUCCACACUGACGCUGAGGCACGAAAGCGUGGGUAUCGAACAGGAUUAGAUACCCCAGUAGUC
rnacentral:rRNA from 1 species